AAGCCACUUACUUGAUGUCUAGCU
rnacentral:sRNA from 1 species